CCGGAGAACCCGGAGAGAACCCACGCACACACGGGGAGAACAUGCAAACUCCACACAGAGAGGCCCUGGUUGGUUUGAACCGGGACUCGAACCCAGAACCUUCUUGCUGUGAGGCGACAGCGCUGACCGUGCAGCCCAACUCGGACAACCCCACUUCAGAAUUAAUGAACUAUUGAGGCAAAACAUUUGAUAUUACAAAUGAUCCUGAAUUCAAUCAACUUUGGUGUAUUGAACUCAAACCUUCAAACUUGAAUCCACUCGAGUUUUCUUUGCACAUGAUUUACCACUGUUAUUCAACCUGUUUAAAGUGAUGAGUGGCCUAUUUCCUGCUUCUCCCCCAGCUGCUCUGACAGAUUAGCCCCUCCACUCACCCUUUGGAUCGCUAAUUGCCCUUAAUGAAUUGAUCAGUCGUGUGUGACCGAACUCACCAUAUUUAAAUCAGUCACAUCGACUGUCAAUCUGUCAACGGUUGGCCCUUUAAUUGAGCCGUUUAACGACGCUAACGAACGAACACACACACAAACACACGCAUUUUAAAACAUGGCAGAAACCAGACGCCGGUGCAGAGAAGAUGAAAAAAGUCAAAUCAGGGAACGUAAAUAACAAAGUUUUGUGGUUUUUUUGGAGAAGUUGACUUGUUAGCGUUAGCAUUAGCAUUAGCGUUAGCAUUAGCAUUAGCGUUAGCGUUAGCGUGGAGCGCACGAUGCUACUAUGCUAACGUCGCGGCGGCUAACGUCAGUUCUGCUAAACGUCGGCAGGACACGGAGACACCCACCUGGUCCGACCCUCGUCUCGUCUCUCCACCGGCGGACGGCUGAGCCCUCGGUGGCGGCCAUUUGACAUUGGUGACAUGGUUCAACCUGAAAUGUUCAAGUCUGCAUCGAUGUCUCCUGCUGCGAGAGUCCCUGCUGUGAUGACGAGGGCAGAAUAUACAGAUGAAAAACAAUAUCUUCAAAGGAGCAGUCUCAAGCCCCGACCGACGCUGCCUCAGCGACAUCCAUCAGACCUCGUUCAGUUCCGCGAAGAGCCACGAGACAAGACGUCUGAAAGUGCACUCCCUAAGAUCUGUGAACAGACUCCGAUGUGUGAAGUUUUUACUUUCCCUCAUCAGCUUGACAGCAUUGGAUUUGACCUGU